CCUUACCGGGAGGUAUGGCCAAAGGUAAAUCAUAAGCCUUUGAUAAGGACUGGGCCAAAUCCAGACAAACAGCUGCUCAAUCCCAACUUUGUAGUAAGCAGAUAACGUCACACAGAAAAUCAAUGUGAGUGCGACCACUAUUAGAAAAGCUCCCUUCUGCUGGCAUCACUCAAGUGAACAUCAUAUCUGUGCAGGGAUGCUCGUUCUCAGUUACGUUGGGAAAUGGUUUAGGAGGAAGAAGAGACACUACAGUACCAGCUUCCUGUCCUGCCUUGACAAGCAUCCCUUAAAAGGCAUGCCUACCUCAGAGUGCGCAUUUUUGAGUCCAAGACGCAGAAGGACGCUGACGUCAUGGUUCACACUUAUGAUACCAGAACUCAGGGGCCUCCAACAGGAGGAGUGUCCUGAGCUACACUGCAACCCUUACAAACAAACCCAAGAGAAAAAGGAGAAGAAAACCAAGCAACACGCAAAUGUGGGCGGGCUCACACAUAACUAUGGGGGGUGGAGGUGGGGAGGGAGGGAACACACGAAGUCUGCGGGACCGUGGAAAUCAAUCCACGUCACCUUGGUGGGGUCUAAGUUCUAGGCUUCGAAGUGCAGCUUUGUUUACUUGGUGAUAAUUGUUCACGGCAGAACGUAUCAGAAAAUUCUAUAAUGGGAGCCACGGCCAAGAAGUGGUAAAUAAUUAAUCACUUCCCUCCCUGCGUCUUGCAUCUCUGUUGAUAUAAAUGGCCGUAUAAUUCCAAACCCAAUUAUCACUACUUAGCCAUUCCAUUUUGUAAUUAAAAUCCCGCAAAAUUAAAGCGCAUCAAUUGUUAAUGGCAAUAGACCAGACAAGGGAUUAAAGAUUAUUUUAAUGUUUA